UACAGGCCUGAUGCGCAUUGAGUGGUUUUCUUGAUGGGUGUGAUGAUGAUAAGAUGAUGUGCAUUAAAUACGGCACAGGUAAAGAUUUCCUUGUGCGGUCAAGAGGAUACUGAUGUUGACUGAGAGGAUACUGAAGAAAUCCCAGAACAUUGUGGCAUUUUUAUGAUACGUUUUAUUUUGAAUAAUUAUGCAAGCCCGCCCCUCUCUCAAAUAAGCCUGCUCUAGGACUAAAAAAAUAAAUAGAGCUUUUACGGUAAAUCAAAACAAAUCAGCCCGAAAGAUCCUACUCCAACGUCAAUGACAAUGUCAACGAAAGUAAUAUUCUCGCCGAAGACCCUGUAUUCUGAUAUUGUUUCUUUAUUAACAUCUUGAUAGAAAAGCCCAAUCCGUCUUGCUACCGCUCUUUACUGAGCUCAUAUUACGUACCAGACACCUUCUUCGUACAUAGCCAUCGGGCCCCUAUCUUAGGACUCCAUUGGUUACAUCCUCAAUAGGCAAGCGGCACUGAUUGGGCACCCUCAACAGUCAUGUGCUCACGUUUCUGAUUGGCCUAUUUUGAUCCACAACUGGGUAUAUAUAUAUUUCCUAGCGUAGAGUUUUUGAUUCAUGUUCUGACGUUUUAUACUCUGAAGGUCAGAUGAAAAGCUUAAGUAUACUCAAAUGUUUGCUUUUUUCAAGGUCAAUUUCAAAUUUUGUUAUAUUUAUUUAUUCUUUGCACAGCACAAAGGUUCCAACCUGGUUGCAACGAUACCACUUCUCCAUGCUAUUCACUGCGCAUGGCAAGUACAAUUGUGAUGCUGUAGUUAUGGAUUGCUGUAAAAAAAUUUACUGUGAUCGGCGCGGGGCCCCUAAAACUGCGAGCCCUAGAGCAUGGUCUAGUUGGCCUUUUGGUUAAUCCGGCACUGCAUUGACACAACCUGUUUUAUUGCACGUCUAUAAACUGGGGGCAAAUGCGAUGGUUACAUCACGUGGUAACAUAGGCAUGAGCCUUAUUCGCACCUUUGCUUCAACUAACUCCGGGGCUGAAUUUCAUAACGAACAGUGAUUAUAAGCCAUUUUGAUAUGGACAUGAAUAUUUUAUCACGGCUAAGCUAACAUAAGAUCAUUCGCUUUCGAAAAAAAAGAAAUUUUCAUAACGAUUACGCAGAAAUGGUAAGGUGUUGUUGGGAAGUGACAUGAUUGUUCGAGAGCAGAAGGCAAACCCUUGAGGCGAAACCGGAUAACGCUUUUUCAGAUUGUUUGUAGAGAGCUUAAUAGUUGACAAACUGCGCUUCGACUACGCGCUUAUUUCGUAUCAUAUCGCGUGGGUGAGGGAAAGGAGCAAGACUCACAGUAAUAUAUACGGCUCAUUCAGUCAAGUCUGAUGUCUGCAAACAAUCCGUAACAAGACAUUAUUUGAACAGGAAUUACGUACUUGCAUCACCUGCCUGUCCUUAAGUUUAACAUGCUGAUCUUAAAUUUGCAAAACCAGAUCACAGGGAACGCUUCAGCUUUUCUUUCUUAAAAAGUAUCCAAACAUUGCAGCCAAGACGACCAGCAAUAUUAGCAAACCGAGCUGAAAACAGAUCUCCCUGGCUCAGUGACAGAAGAAGAUUCAGAGUCUGUUAAUGCAGCGUGCAAUGCGUUGUACUUAGGCCGGUAAAGAAUAUAAUGUUUGAGGAAAAUAUUUUUUCCAGCUUAGGAACAGUGCGAUGCCAAAGCACACAGUUGCUGUUCAGACGAGUCCCGGGCACUGUUCGGCACAAGGCAACUUCAGCUUGAGCCUUGUGCACAGCAUACAACCGGAACAUUUCACUACUGUGCAGAUAUGCAAGUUGGAAGAUGCGUUCAGACAAAACACAAAGCCUGACACAGUGACUAUGCAGAUACUGGCGAUGGAAAGCAACUUGCUUUAUUGCGACGUCGUGGCAUGGUUUCGAGAGCGAAGACUAAAAUGGGUUGAAGAUGCAGAGAAAUUCACAACAAAGUCAGUAGAUCGACCUGCAGAUACAAAGACAACAGACGAAAAUUUACCUGACGUACAGUGUUAAUGUAUUUCUAACUAAUUUUUAUAUUUUGAAAUAUUGAAAUAACGUAAAUUAUUUCCUGAUUACAUGGAUACAGCCAUUUUA